GAUGAACGCUGGCGGCGUGCCUAAUACAUGCAAGUCGAGCGAACAGAUAAGGAGCUUGCUCCUUUGACGUUAGCGGCGGACGGGUGAGUAACACGUGGGUAACCUACCUAUAAGACUGGAAUAACUCCGGGAAACCGGGGCUAAUGCCGGAUAACAUUUAGAACCGCAUGGUUCUAAAGUGAAAGAUGGUUUUGCUAUCACUUAUAGAUGGACCCGCGCCGUAUUAGCUAGUUGGUAAGGUAACGGCUUACCAAGGCAACGAUACGUAGCCGACCUGAGAGGGUGAUCGGCCACACUGGAACUGAGACACGGUCCAGACUCCUACGGGAGGCAGCAGUAGGGAAUCUUCCGCAAUGGGCGAAAGCCUGACGGAGCAACGCCGCGUGAGUGAUGAAGGUCUUCGGUUCGUAAAACUCUGUUAUUAGGGAAGAACAAAUGUGUAAGUAACUGUGCACGUCUUGACGGUACCUAAUCAGAAAGCCACGGCUAACUACG
rnacentral:rRNA from 1 species